GUGCUCACUUCGGCAUCACAUAUACUAAAAUUGGAACAAUACAGAGAAAAUUAGCAUGGCCCUGCACAAGGAUGGCAAGCAAAUUUGUGAAGCGUUGCAUAUUUUU